rnacentral:tRNA from 1 species
GGGCCUAUAGCUCAGUUGGUUAGAGCAACGGACUCAUAAUCCGUUGGUCGCUGGUUCGAGUCCAGCUGGGCCCA